GGGUUGUGAGGUUAAGCGACUAAGCGUACACGGUGGAUGCCCUGGCAGUCAGAGGCGAUGAAGGACGUGCUAAUCUGCGAUAAGCGUCGGUAAGGUGAUAUGAACCGUUAUAACCGGCGAUUUCCGAAUGGGGAAACCCAGUGUGAUUCGUCACACUAUCAUUAACUGAAUCCAUAGGUUAAUGAGGCGAACCGGGGGAACUGAAACAUCUAAGUACCCCGAGGAAAAGAAAUCAACCGAGAUUCCCCCAGUAGCGGCGAGCGAACGGGGAGCAGCCCAGAGCCUGAAUCAGUGUGUGUGUUAGUGGAAGCGUCUGGAAAGGCGCGCGAUACAGGGUGACAGCCCCGUACACAAAAAUGCACAUGCUGUGAGCUCGAUGAGUAGGGCGGGACACGUGGUAUCCUGUCUGAAUAUGGGGGGACCAUCCUCCAAGGCUAAAUACUCCUGACUGACCGAUAGUGAACCAGUACCGUGAGGGAAAGGCGAAAAGAACCCCGGCGAGGGGAGUGAAAAAGAACCUGAAACCGUGUACGUACAAGCAGUGGGAGCACGCUUAGGCGUGUGACUGCGUACCUUUUGUAUAAUGGGUCAGCGACUUAUAUUCUGUAGCAAGGUUAACCGAAUAGGGGAGCCGAAGGGAAACCGAGUCUUAACUGGGCGUUAAGUUGCAGGGUAUAGACCCGAAACCCGGUGAUCUAGCCAUGGGCAGGUUGAAGGUUGGGUAACACUAACUGGAGGACCGAACCGACUAAUGUUGAAAAAUUAGCGGAUGACUUGUGGCUGGGGGUGAAAGGCCAAUCAAACCGGGAGAUAGCUGGUUCUCCCCGAAAGCUAUUUAGGUAGCGCCUCGUGAAUUCAUCUCCGGGGGUAGAGCACUGUUUCGGCAAGGGGGUCAUCCCGACUUACCAACCCGAUGCAAACUGCGAAUACCGGAGAAUGUUAUCACGGGAGACACACGGCGGGUGCUAACGUCCGUCGUGAAGAGGGAAACAACCCAGACCGCCAGCUAAGGUCCCAAAGUCAUGGUUAAGUGGGAAACGAUGUGGGAAGGCCCAGACAGCCAGGAUGUUGGCUUAGAAGCAGCCAUCAUUUAAAGAAAGCGUAAUAGCUCACUGGUCGAGUCGGCCUGCGCGGAAGAUGUAACGGGGCUAAACCAUGCACCGAAGCUGCGGCAGCGACGCUUAUGCGUUGUUGGGUAGGGGAGCGUUCUGUAAGCCUGCGAAGGUGUGCUGUGAGGCAUGCUGGAGGUAUCAGAAGUGCGAAUGCUGACAUAAGUAACGAUAAAGCGGGUGAAAAGCCCGCUCGCCGGAAGACCAAGGGUUCCUGUCCAACGUUAAUCGGGGCAGGGUGAGUCGACCCCUAAGGCGAGGCCGAAAGGCGUAGUCGAUGGGAAACAGGUUAAUAUUCCUGUACUUGGUGUUACUGCGAAGGGGGGACGGAGAAGGCUAUGUUGGCCGGGCGACGGUUGUCCCGGUUUAAGCGUGUAGGCUGGUUUUCCAGGCAAAUCCGGAAAAUCAAGGCUGAGGCGUGAUGACGAGGCACUACGGUGCUGAAGCAACAAAUGCCAUGCUUCCAGGAAAAGCCUCUAAGCAUCAGGUAACAUCAAAUCGUACCCCAAACCGACACAGGUGGUCAGGUAGAGAAUACCAAGGCGCUUGAGAGAACUCGGGUGAAGGAACUAGGCAAAAUGGUGCCGUAACUUCGGGAGAAGGCACGCUGAUAUGUAGGUGAAGCGACUUGCUCGUGGAGCUGAAAUCAGUCGAAGAUACCAGCUGGCUGCAACUGUUUAUUAAAAACACAGCACUGUGCAAACACGAAAGUGGACGUAUACGGUGUGACGCCUGCCCGGUGCCGGAAGGUUAAUUGAUGGGGUCAGCGCAAGCGAAGCUCUUGAUCGAAGCCCCGGUAAACGGCGGCCGUAACUAUAACGGUCCUAAGGUAGCGAAAUUCCUUGUCGGGUAAGUUCCGACCUGCACGAAUGGCGUAAUGAUGGCCAGGCUGUCUCCACCCGAGACUCAGUGAAAUUGAACUCGCUGUGAAGAUGCAGUGUACCCGCGGCAAGACGGAAAGACCCCGUGAACCUUUACUAUAGCUUGACACUGAACAUUGAGCCUUGAUGUGUAGGAUAGGUGGGAGGCUUUGAAGUGUGGACGCCAGUCUGCAUGGAGCCGACCUUGAAAUACCACCCUUUAAUGUUUGAUGUUCUAACGUUGACCCGUAAUCCGGGUUGCGGACAGUGUCUGGUGGGUAGUUUGACUGGGGCGGUCUCCUCCUAAAGAGUAACGGAGGAGCACGAAGGUUGGCUAAUCCUGGUCGGACAUCAGGAGGUUAGUGCAAUGGCAUAAGCCAGCUUGACUGCGAGCGUGACGGCGCGAGCAGGUGCGAAAGCAGGUCAUAGUGAUCCGGUGGUUCUGAAUGGAAGGGCCAUCGCUCAACGGAUAAAAGGUACUCCGGGGAUAACAGGCUGAUACCGCCCAAGAGUUCAUAUCGACGGCGGUGUUUGGCACCUCGAUGUCGGCUCAUCACAUCCUGGGGCUGAAGUAGGUCCCAAGGGUAUGGCUGUUCGCCAUUUAAAGUGGUACGCGAGCUGGGUUUAGAACGUCGUGAGACAGUUCGGUCCCUAUCUGCCGUGGGCGCUGGAGAACUGAGGGGGGCUGCUCCUAGUACGAGAGGACCGGAGUGGACGCAUCACUGGUGUUCGGGUUGUCAUGCCAAUGGCACUGCCCGGUAGCUAAAUGCGGAAGAGAUAAGUGCUGAAAGCAUCUAAGCACGAAACUUGCCCCGAGAUGAGUUCUCCCUGACUCCUUGAGAGUCCUGAAGGAACGUUGAAGACGACGACGUUGAUAGGCCGGGUGUGUAAGCGCAGCGAUGCGUUGAGCUAACCGGUACUAAUGAACCGUGAGGCUUAACCUUACAACGCCGAAGGUGUUU
rnacentral:rRNA from 1 species